rnacentral:rRNA from 1 species
UACGUAGGGGGCUAGCGUUGUCCGGAAUCAUUGGGCGUAAAGCGCGUGUAGGCGGUCCGGUAAGUCCGCUGUGAAAGUCGGGGGCUCAACCCUCGGAUGCCGGUGGAUACUGUCGGGCUUGAGUACGGAAGAGGCGAGUGGAAUUCCUGGUGUAGCGGUGAAUUGCGCAGAUAUCAGGAGGAACACCAAUUGCGAAGGCAGCUCGCUGGGACGUUACUGACGCUGAGACGCGAAAGCGUGGGGAGUAAACAGG